rnacentral:rRNA from 1 species
GACAGAGGGUGCAAACGUUGUUCGGAAUUACUGGGCGUAAAGCGUGUGUAGGCGGCUUGGCAAGUCGGAUGUGAAAGCCCUGGGCUCAACCCAGGAAGUGCACUCGAUACUGCCGAGCUUGAGUAUCGGAGAGGUUGGUGGAAUUCUCGGUGUAGAGGUGAAAUUCGUAGAUAUUGGGAAGAACACCGGUGGCGAAGGCGGCUCACUGGCUCGUAACUGACGCUCACGCACGACAGCGUGGGGAUCAAACAGG